rnacentral:rRNA from 1 species
GCAGCCACUCAUUCAAAGAGUGCGUAAUAGCUCACUGGUCGAGUGAUCCUGCGCCGAAGAUUUCCGGGGCUAAAACUUACUACCGAAGCUACGGCAUCAGUAAUGAUGGGUAGGGGAGCUUCCCAUACGGGUUGAAGCAUGACCGUAAGGACAUGUGGACAGUAUGGGAGUGAGAAUGUUGGCAUGAGUAGCGAGAUGUGGGUGAGAAUCCCACAGGCCGUAAACCCAAGGUUUCCAGGGGAAGGUUCGUCCGCCCUGGGUUAGUCGGGACCUAAGCUGAGGCCGAAAGGCGUAGGUGAUGGACAACAGGUUGAUAUUCCUGUACUACCGAUAACCGUUUGAGAGAAGGGAUGACACAGUAGGAUAAGCUAAGCACACUGUUGGUUAUGUGUGCCCAAGCAUUGAGGCAGUCAAAGUAGGCAAAUCCGCUUUGAUAAUGCUAGGAUGUGAUGGGGAGCGAAAUUUAGUAGCGAAGUAGCUGAUUUCACACUGUCAAGAAAAGUCUCUAUCGAGGUUAAAGGUACCCGUACCGCAAACCGACACAGGUGGGGGAGGAGAGUAUCCUAAGGCCAGCGAGAGAACUGUUGUUAAGGAACUCGGCAAAAUGACCCCGUAACUUAGGGAUAAGGGGUGCCACCAUCAGGUGGCCGCAGAGAAUAGGCCCAAGCGACUGUUUACCAAAAACAUAGGUUUCUGCUAAGUCGCAAGACGAUGUAUAGGAGCUGACGCCUGCCCGG